AGAGUUUGAUCAUGGCUCAGAUUGAACGCUGGCGGCAUGCUUUACACAUGCAAGUCGAACGGUAACGCGGGGGCAACCCUGGCGACGAGUGGCGAACGGGUGAGUAAUACAUCGGAACGUGUCCUGAGGUGGGGGAUAACCUAUCGAAAGGUAGGCUAAUACCGCAUACGCUCGGGAGAGGAAAGCGGGGGAUCGGUAACGACCUCGCGUCGCAGGAGCGGCCGAUGUCCGAUUAGCUAGUUGGUGGGGUAAAGGCUUACCAAGGCGACGAUCGGUAGCUGGUCUGAGAGGAUGAUCAGCCACACUGGGACUGAGACACGGCCCAGACUCCUACGGGAGGCAGCAGUGGGGAAUUUUGGACAAUGGGGGCAACCCUGAUCCAGCCAUGCCGCGUGAGUGAAGAAGGCCUUCGGGUUGUAAAGCUCUUUCGGUGGGAACGAAACGGUUACGGCUAAUACCCGUGACUACUGACGGUACUCACAGAAGAAGCACCGGCUAACUACGUGCCAGCAGCCGCGGUAAUACGUAGGGUGCGAGCGUUAAUCGGAAUUACUGGGCGUAAAGCGUGCGCAGGCGGUUAUUUAAGUCAGGUGUGAAAGCCCUGGGCUUAACCUAGGAAUGGCGCUUGAGACUGGAUAGCUUGGAGUGUGGCAGAGGGAGGUGGAAUUCCCGUGUAGCAGUGAAAUGCGUAGAGAUGUGGAGGAACACCGAUGGCGAAGGCAGCCUCCUGGGCCAGCACUGACGCUCAUGCACGAAAGCGUGGGGAGCAAACAGGAUUAGAUACCCUAGUAGUCC
rnacentral:rRNA from 1 species